UGGUGGAGUGAUUUGUCUGGUUUAUUCCGUUAACGAACGAGACCUCGACCUGCUAAAUAGUUCGGCGUAGGUUUGCUCCUAUGCACGCGACUUCUUAGAGGGACUAUCGGUUUGAAGCCGAAGGAAGUUCGAGGCAAUAACA
rnacentral:rRNA from 1 species